rnacentral:rRNA from 1 species
ACGAACGCUGGCGGCAGGCUUAACACAUGCAAGUCGAGCGCCCCGCAAGGGGAGCGGCAGACGGGUGAGUAACGCGUGGGAAUCUACCGAGCCCUACGGAAUAACGCAUGGAAACGUGUGCUAAUACCGUAUACGCCCUACGGGGGAAAGAUUUAUCGGGGUUUGAUGAGCCCGCGUUGGAUUAGCUAGUUGGUGGGGUAAAGGCCUACCAAGGCGACGAUCCAUAGCUGGUCUGAGAGGAUGAUCAGCCACAUUGGGACUGAGACACGGCCCAAACUCCUACGGGAGGCAGCAGUGGGGAAUAUUGGACAAUGGGCGCAAGCCUGAUCCAGCCAUGCCGCGUGAGUGAUGAAGGUCUUAGGGUUGUAAAGCUCUUUUACCCGAGAUGAUAAUGACAGUAUCGGGAGAAUAAGCUCCGGCUAACUCCGU